UGGGGGAUAUUGCACAAUGGGCGAAAGCCUGAUGCAGCGACGCCGCGUGGGGGAUGAAGGCCUUCGGGUUGUAAACUUCUUUUGCUCUGAACAAGGCGCACCAUGUGGUGGGUUGAUUGUAGGGGUUGAUUAGCGCCGGCUAACUACGUGCCAGCAGCCGCGGUAAUACGUAGGGCGCGAGCGUUGUCCGGAAUUAUUGGGCGUAAAGGGCUUGUAGGUGGUUGGUUGCGUCUGUCGUGAAAGUUAAUGGCUUAACUGUGGGUUUGCGGUGGGAUCGGGCUAGCUUGAGUGCAGUAGGGGAGACUGGAAUUCCUGGUGUAGCGGUGGAAUGCGCAGAUAUCAGGAGGAAUACCGGUGGCGAAGGCGGGUCUCUGAGCUGUUACUGACACUGAGGAGCGAAAGCAUGGGGAGCGAACAGG
rnacentral:rRNA from 1 species